ensembl:lncRNA novel transcript
AAGCUCAGCCCAUUGCCCUGUGAUCCCCUGCAGCACCUCAGGACUGCAGUGUCCUCACGGAUGAGAAGACUCACAUAAGAAUCAAUCUCUCACCCCUGGACUUCCCAGCCUCCAGAACUUUUUUUGACUGUGGAGGUGGAACUUUUGGAUACAAAAUGCUGAUUAUAUGCUGAGAAAGGAUAAAGAAGGAAAUGUCUUAAAUAGAAGAAAACAUAAGAAGAUAGAAACUGCAGAGGACAGAGGACCACUGUAUGCCCUGAAGACAUCACUAAAGUGGCACAUGAAGCACACUUUUGAACACUCAGGAAGAAAUUCCUGACAAUCAAUGGACACAGAAAAACAUUAUUAAGUAAAACUUGUGGUGACUCUUUUGCUAGGCAGUGGGGCAUAGUGGUUAAAAAUUUGGGACUUGGGAGCCAUUUCCAAAAAGAAAAAAAAAUAAUGAACAAAAAAGUUCGUGGAGCUGCUUCCUGCGGAAAUCAUGAAAAAUGCCAUUGAAAGUCAAAGCCCUGCACUAAUAACUAAUUAUUUGUCCUUGAACAAGUUAUUUGUGAAUACAGAACCCAUAGAUACGAAAGGCCAACUGUACUUAUUGAAAACAAUCCAGGUAUAACUAGACCCGCACAGUUCAAACCCAUGUUGUUCAAGGGUCAACUGUAUAAUUCACUUAAUCCCUAGAGCAACUGUAAGAGCUAGAUACGAUUGUUAUCCUUGUUUUGUAGGAGAGGAAAGUGAGGCACAGAAGUGUGGUUCAAGGACCAGAAGCAUCUGCAUCACUUGGGAGUUUGUGAGAAAUGCAUAAUCUUAAGGCC